AGAGACUCCGGGUCUACCGCCAGACUCUAAUGGCAGGUCUCAAGGCUGCCGUGCGCAAGCCUACUAAUCUGGCCAAGGUAUAUGAUGUAAGACAAGGUAAGGAUGAGAGUCCAGCAGCCUUCUUAGAAUCACAAAGGCUUUUAGGCAGUACACCCCUCUGAACCCAGAAGCCCCAGAAACAAAAGCCGCAAUUAUCAUGGCUUUUGUUAAUCAGGCUGCUCCAGACAUCAAAAGGAAAUUACAAAGAGUGGAGAGGCUAGGAGAGAAGAGCCUGCAGGACUUAAUAAUAGUAGCAGAAAGAGUUUACAAUAAUAGAGAAAGCCCGGAGGAGCAACAGACUAAGCGACCGGCAGACCCGAAAUCUGGCUAAGAUCCUGCUGGCUACAACCAUGGAUGACCCACAGGAAAAACGGAGGUACCUCAAGAAGCUGACUUCAAGAACAGAGCCCAUGAGCGGGUGUGGCCUAAGCUGAGGGCCCUCUACGAGACCGGGCUGCCUCCUGACCCCCAUCAGUAUCGACCAGGCGAUUGGGUGUACGUGCGGAGGCACCAACAGCAGAUGCUCCAACCUUGCUGGAAAAGACCCUACAUUGUGAUCCUGACCACGCCCACCGCUCUCAAGGUCAACGGAAUAACUCCCUGGGUCCACUACACCCACGUCCGGCCAGCUGAUCCACACGCCGUCCUCAAGGACUUUGUUCCGGAAUGGAAGAGUCAGCCCGACAAGGACAAUCCCUUAAAGCUAAGGUUGCGUCGCUCCCACUUACCCCGCUAAUAUUACUUGCGCUGUAUCCCCUCGCGGCUAAACCCAACCCCAAACCACUUAAUCUAACCUGGCAAAUCAUCACCCCAAGCUCUAAUCAGGUAGUAACCCAGCUGUCUGAGCUACACCCUAGAGGGACCUGGUGGCCUAAUCUGACUAUUGACUUGUGUGAACUAUUCAGUCAGGACCCCUGGCACCAAGGCAGAAUAGGAAUACCAGGAUGUGGCACCGAGAGGGCCAAGAUGGCCCUCCAAGAUACCUGUUUUUAUGUGUGUCCGGCCCCCUCUCAGUCUGACCAUAAUAAGGCCUCCAAAUGCGGUGGCUGGACAGACUACUUCUGCAAAACAUGGGGUUGCGAACAAACUGGGACAUG